AACGCACCUUGCGCUCCUUGGUAUUCCGAGGAGCAUGCCUGUUUGAGUGUCAUCAUAUUCUCAACCACACAAGUUGUUAUUACGACUUCUAUGCGGCUUGGAUGUGGGACUUUGCCGGCUCAACCAAAUGAGUCGGCUGUCCUGAAAUGUAUUAGCAAGGCUUUUGUUGCCAAUCUCAGGUGUGAUAGCUAUUUACGCCAACGUGAGAGGCAUCUUUGCAAGCUUAGCUUCUAACUGUCUUUGGACAAUUUGACAAAUCUGACCUCAAAUCAGGUAGGAUUACCCGCUGAACUUAA
rnacentral:misc_RNA from 1 species